rnacentral:rRNA from 1 species
AUUGAACGCUGGCGGCAUGCUUUACACAUGCAAGUCGAACGGCAGCGCGGGCUUCGGCCUGGCGGCGAGUGGCGAACGGGUGAGUAAUGCAUCGGAACGUGCCCAGUAGUGGGGGAUAGCCCGGCGAAAGCCGGAUUAAUACCGCAUACGACCUGAGGGUGAAAGCGGGGGACCGAAAGGCCUCGCGCUAUUUGAGCGGCCGAUGUCGGAUUCGCUAGUUGGUGGGGUAAAGGCUUACCAAGGCGACGAUCCGUAGCUGGUCUGAGAGGACGACCAGCCACACUGGGACUGAGACACGGCCCAGACUCCUACGGGAGGCAGCAGUGGGGAAUUUUGGACAAUGGGGGCAACCCUGAUCCAGCCAUGCCGCGUGCGGGAAGAAGGCCUUCGGGUUGCAAACCGCUUUUGUUCGGGAAGAAAUACUCUGGGCUAAUACCCCGGGGGGAUGACGGUACCGGAAGAAUAAGCACCGGCUAACUACGUG